GAUGAACGCUGGCGGCGCGCCUAACACAUGCAAGUCGAACGGCACCCCUCUCCGGAGGGAAGCGAGUGGCGAACGGCUGAGUAACACGUGGAGAACCUGCCCCCUCCCCCGGGAUAGCCGCCCGAAAGGACGGGUAAUACCGGAUACCCCGGGGUGCCGCAUGGCGCCCCGGCUAAAGCCCCGACGGGAGGGGAUGGCUCCGCGGCCCAUCAGGUAGACGGCGGGGUGACGGCCCACCGUGCCGACAACGGGUAGCCGGGUUGAGAGACCGACCGGCCAGAUUGGGACUGAGACACGGCCCAGACUCCUACGGGAGGCAGCAGUGGGGAAUCUUGCGCAAUGGGGGGAACCCUGACGCAGCGACGCCGCGUGCGGGACGGAGGCCUUCGGGUCGUAAACCGCU
rnacentral:rRNA from 1 species